GACGAACGCUGGCGGCGUGCUUAACACAUGCAAGUCGAACGGAAAGGCCCAGCUUGCUGGGUACUCGAGUGGCGAACGGGUGAGUAACACGUGGGUGAUCUGCCCUGGACUCUGGGAUAAGCCUGGGAAACUGGGUCUAAUACCGGAUAUGACCUUACAUCGCAUGGUGUUUGGUGGAAAGCUUUUGCGGUUCAGGAUGGGCCCGCGGCCUAUCAGCUUGUUGGUGGGGUAAUGGCCUCCCAAGGCGACGACGGGUAGCCGACCUGAGAGGGUGAUCGGCCACACUGGGACUGAGGCACGGCCCAGACUCCUACGGGAGGCAGCAGUGGGGAAUAUUGCACAAUGGGCGCAACCCUGAUGCAGCGACGCCGCGUGAGGGAUGACGGCCUUCGGGUUGUAAACCUCUUUCACCAGGGACGAAGCGUGAGUGACGGUACCUGGAGAAGAAGCACCGGCCAACUACGUG
rnacentral:rRNA from 1 species